rnacentral:SRP_RNA from 1 species
GCCGGAUGCGGUGGCGCACGCCUGUAGUCCCAGCAACUCGGGAGGCUGAGGCUGGAGGAUAGCUUGAGCCCAGGAGUUCUGGGCUGCAGUACACUUUGGCGAUAGGGUGUCCGCACUAAGUUUGGCAGCAAUACGUGACCCUCUGGGAGCAGAGGACCACCAGGUUGGCUAAGGAGGAGUGAACCGGCCCAGGUCAGAAACGGAGCAGGUCAAAACUCCCGUGCUGAUAAGGAAGAAAGAAAAGAAAGACUAGGACCAAAGACUCUUUCAGAGACAAUGGCUAGAAACUGGAUUACU